rnacentral:lncRNA from 1 species
AAAAUCUAGUUGGAAAUCCUAUUCGGAUUCGGAAACCAACAACAAAUCCCAAUUAUAAAUACAUGAUCCUAGUUCACCGUCUCUAGUUCAUAUAGCUGAGAUGGCUGCUGCUCUGUUUAAUCAAGAUUCCUCUUCCGUAUUAGUCACAGCUUUUGGCGGUCCUAGUUCCAGGAAUGAUCCUUCACUCCCUAAUCAGCAGGAGUUAUCUAUUGUUUUCACAAUCAAGGAGUGCUUCCGAUCUUCUUCUAACAGCCGCAUCAAAACAACAACGUUCCUCAAUACCACUCACUCACCACAGUUUCCGGCCAACUCCGUAAUCGAUUCGCCAUCUUCGCCGUUCUACAAUUUCAUAUCCACGCAGAUUUCCAGACAAACAUCCCUUUCCCAUUAGAGAAAAUCUAAUGGAGGGAAAGAGAUACAGGGAAUAUUAAGUACUUGGAGGAUAAUAAUCGCCGACGAAUUAAUUAAGCUAAUCUUAAACCAGGCUCAUGGGACACUAGAGAAGUUCUCGAAUUGUGACCGCAAAAUACUUGCUUUCGGUAUCAACAUUGAAAGAAACGUAACUCUACCCGAUAAUGAAUACCAAGCAAUGGCCAUGGACAAAAAGAAGGAGACGGAUCGCCAGAAACUCUGGCACUUAGUUGCUCAUUUAAUUCGUGUUGGUCAACAACAUAAUACGCCUUUGUAUAGUAUACUGGGGA